UGAGUAAAGUGGCGUACGGGUGAGUAACACGUGGAUAAUCUACCUCUUAGUGGGGAAUAACUCUGGGAAACCGGAGCUAAUACCGCAUAAGCCUGGAAAGGGAAAGUCGCAAGACGCUGAGAGAGGAGUCCGCGGCCGAUUAGCUAGUUGGCAGGGUAAAAGCCUACCAAGGCAUUGAUCGGUAGCCGGCCUGAGAGGGCACACGGCCACACUGGCACUGAAACACGGGCCAG
rnacentral:rRNA from 1 species